rnacentral:rRNA from 1 species
AUUGAACGCUGGCGGCAGGCCUAACACAUGCAAGUCGAGCGGGGUUUUCGGACCUAGCGGCGGACGGGUGAGUAAUGCGUAGGAAGCUACCCGAUAGAGGGGGAUACCAGUUGGAAACGACUGUUAAUACCGCAUAAUGUCUACGGACCAAAGUGUGGGACCUUCGGGCCACAUGCUAUCGGAUGCGCCUACGUGGGAUUAGCUAGUUGGUGGGGUAAUGGCUCACCAAGGCGACGAUCCCUAGCUGGUUUGAGAGGAUGAUCAGCCACACUGGAACUGAGACACGGUCCAGACUCCUACGGGAGGCAGAAGUGGGGAAUAUUGGACAAUGGGCGCAAGCCUGAUCCAGCCAUGCCGCGUGUGUGAAGAAGGCCUUCGGGUUGUAAAGCACUUUCAGUAGGGAGGAAGGAUGUUGUGUUAAUAGCACAGCAUAUUGACGUUACCUACAGAAGAAGCACCGGCUAACUCUGUGCCAGCCGCCGCCGUAAUAC